GUUGAGAUGGCCGAGUUUGUAUAAGGCGCCAGAUUAAUGUUCUAGUUCGGAAGGGCGUGUGUUCAAAUCCCAUUCUCAAUU
rnacentral:tRNA from 1 species